UUACCGGCUUGACAUGACAGAGAUUCUUCGGCACAGGUGCUGCAUGGCUGUCGUCAGCUCGUGUUGUGAGAUGUUCGGUUAAGUCCGGCAACGAGCGCAACCCUGUCUUAGUUGUCAUCACAUGGACCUCUAAGAGACUGCCCGGGUUAACGGGAGGAAGGUGGGGAUGACGUCAAGUCCUCAUGGCCCUUACGCCGGGCUACACACGUGCUACAAUGGGGUACAUGGGGCACCGCGAGGGGAGCAAUCCUCAAACCUCCUCAGUUCGGAUUGGAGGCUGCAACUCGCCUCCAUGAAGCUGGAAUCGCUAGUAAUCGUGAUCAGAUGCACGGUGAAUACGUUCCCGGGCCUUGUACACACCGCCCGUCAAGCCACGAAAGAAGAAGGCUCAA
rnacentral:rRNA from 1 species